CUGCAGAUGCUGCAAAGAAGGACACAAACUGCCAGAGUAACUCGGUGGGUCGGGCAGCAUCUCUGGAGAACAUGGAUCGGUGACCUUCUGGGUCAAGACCCUACU